AAUCAUUUCUCAACAAUAACUUGUAGACCUAUAUAUAUGUUCUAGUAACUAUCGUCAUAAUUAAGAGUGAACGAAUAAUUACAGAAGUACAACAACCAACAAGUGAAAACAUGUUUACAGCAACGAAAUUUGCAAAAACUAAUGAAAUGGCUAUCCACUCGAUUUCUCUUCAGGUAAAAAAAAUAACAAGAAAUGUUUGAACAAUGCCUUCGUGGAAGAAUUAAUCCAAUGCCAAUGAAAAGAUACUGUUUGGGUAAAAGUAUCCCAAUGCGUAAAGGAACUGUCCAAUAUUAGUUUUGUUUCCUUAAUUUUUGUAAUUUUUCCGGCUCUCCUUAUUUCGUUUGAAAAAUAUCGAGUAUCAUGUUCGCUAUGAACGUAAUCAUUCAAGUUAGACGGAAAUCCUACAAAUUACGUCAGCCGACGGUGUCUCGCGAAUAUAUUGACUUGGGGUAUCGGAUUAUGAAUAAUGACCACACAUGCAACAAAUGAGAGUCGGUGAAAGCCCGAUUUGAAAAAAAAAGCUUCGCAAGCAUAAAAAUGGCAGAGGCAAAAUCACCAGAGGACACAAAAGCACCGAAGCAACGUAUGUAUAACACACACUAUUUUUAUAGUUACACGUCUCUAUAAUAUUAGUAACAAAUCAGUACUUUUAGAAGAAGCUAUGUUACUUCUAAAACCUAAACAUUUAUAUAAUCAUCACAUCAAUUUCAUGAAAAAUUUUCUCAAGACUAGAUUGCGAAUGCUGUGAAAAUUGUUUAAUGUACAUAAAAUAGUUCUAGAAGAAAUUAUCAAGCAUAUAAUUGCUUUGUCAUUGUCUCAUUACUAUGCAUAUUUGUAACACUACAAGUAAAGCUAAUAAAACUGUCUUUCCAUUUAUGCGAAA